GAGUUUGAUCCUGGCUCAGAACGAACGCUGGCGGCGUGCCUAACACAUACAAGUCGAACGUGAUCCAGAGCUUGCUCUGGUGAAAGUGGCGCACGGGUGAGUAACGCGUGGAUAACCUACCCUGGUAUCCGGGAUAACAUUCCGAAAGGGGUGCUAAUACCGGAUAAGCCCACGGGCUCUUUGGAGCUUGCGGGAAAAGGUGGCCUCUAUUUAUAAGCUACUGUAUCAGGAUGGGUCCGCGUACCAUUAGCUAGUUGGCGGUGUAACGGACCACCAAGGCGACGAUGGUUAGCUGGUCUGAGAGGAUGAUCAGCCMCACUGGAACUGAGACACGGUCCAGACUCCUACGGGAGGCAGCAGUGGGGAAUUUUGCGCAAUGGGGGAAACCCUGACGCAGCAACGCCGCGUGAGUGAUGAAGGCCUUUGGGUCGUAAAGCUCUGUCAGAGGGGAAGAAAUGAUAUAGUGCUAAUACCACUUUAUCUUGACGGUACCCUCAAAGGAAGCACCGGCUAACUCCGUGCCAGCAGCCGCGGUAAUAC
rnacentral:rRNA from 1 species